AGCCAGCGAUGGCCGCGGAGGGGGCGAACUGGGUUCCGGCCCUCGGAGGCUGACGGAAGGCGGUGGCUGAGGAGCGGCGCCUCUGGUUGAGCGCUCGCCGUGUGUCCCGCACCUGUCUGUCCUGCCGCCGCCCGGUAAGCACAGCACCGCACAUCUCCAGUCGGACUGGCUACAUUUCAAGGGCUCAACCAUCACACAUUACCAGUGGCUACUGCAUCAGACUGUGCAGUGCUAGAUGGGGAGUCAGAAGAGAAACCAAGUGAUUUCCAUGUCAAGUGGUGAACAGGCUAAGAAGAAAUGUAAAUUGGGGAAAGAGCAUGGGGAAUGUGGGAGUUGCUGUUUGAAAGAGGAUGGUUGGGAAGGCUGAAGAGCUGUCAUUUGCAGAGGGACCCAAAAGAGGUGAGAGCACUGAACAAAUAGUUACAUUCUUCAUUGUCUGCCACAGUGCUGUCCAGAAGAACUUCCCACGAUAAUGGGCAUGUUCCAU
rnacentral:lncRNA from 1 species